GAAAAGAAACUANCAAGGAUUUCCCUAGUAGUGGCGAACGACCGGGAANUAGCCCAGCACCGAAUCCUGUAUCAUUGGUACUAGGAAUUGUGGUGUAAAGGUUGUGCUUUUAAUUGAUGAAAAUGCUCCAAAUUCACUUGAUUGUGAUGUUGUCCAGAGAAGGUGUUAGACCUGUUGGAGUGUAGCAGUCUUUUAUUGGCAUUUCCUAUGAGUCGGAUUGUUUGAGAAUGCAGUCCAAAUUUGGUGGUAAACUCCAUCUAAGGCUAAAUACUUGUGUGAGUCCGAUAGCAAACAAGUACCGUGAGGGAAAGUUGAAAAGAACUUUGAAGAGAGAGUUAAAUAGUACGUGAAAUUGCUUAGAGGUAAACGAGUGGAGCCGAAGAUGUUGUGUGGGAUUCAGUUGAUUGUGUAUUGUUGUUGAUUGGUUAAUAUGCAAUUUGUAAUUAGCCAGUUGAAUUUAUAGUAUGCGAUUAAUGCACUUUCCAUGUAACUAAACUGCGAUCAGUAGUGUUGUCUUUCUGUCGUAAUGGUGAAGGUGAUCAUUUGUUCGCAAGUGGUUUUAUAGCUCAUUGCAUGGUUAAAUGAUUUACUGGUGAAUACGAUUGGCUAAUGUUGAUGAUUUUUCGUAUUGAUAAUUUGAUAGCAGACUAGUUAUAGAUUGUUGUUUAGAUAGUCGAUGUGAUGAAUUGUUGGUAAGUCAUUCUAAAAUCCGCAGUGUUUAUGUAGGUUACCUACUCGUCCCGUCUUGAAACACGGACCAAGGAGUUUUAUAUUAUCGCGAGUCAAAGGGCUUUACGAAACCCCAGGGCGUAAUUAAUGUGAAGGUUUGCUUCGGNUGAACUGUGAUGUGACCUCAAUAUUUUUAUUGUGUGCAACAUCAACCCGUCUAAAUAUGUUCGCAUAUGGGCGGAGUUUGAGCGAUAAUGUAGAGACCCGAAAGAUGGUGAACUAUGCUUGUGCAGGUUGAAGCCAGGGGAAACUCUGGUGGAGGACCGCCGCGGUUCUGACGUGCAAAUCGAUCGUCGGACAUGAGUAUAGGGGCGAAAGACUAAUCGAACCAUCUAGUAGCUGGUUCCCUCCGAAGUUUCCCUCAGGAUAGCUGGCGUUUGUUGUCGUAGUUUUACCUGGUAAAGCGAAUGAUUAGAAGUAUUGGGGACGAAAUGUUCUCAACUUAUUCUCAAACUUUAAAUGGGUUCGAAGUAUAUCUCUCUUUAUUGGAGAUGUGCAUUGAAUACGAAUGCCUAGUGGGCCAUUUUUGGUAAGCAGAACUGGCGAUGUGGGAUGAACCAAACAUUUGGUUAAGGUGCCUAACAUCACGCUCAUAAGAACCCACAAAAGGUGUUGGUUGAUAAAGACAGCAGGACGGUGGACAUGGAAGUCGUCAUCCGCUAAGGAGUGUGUAACAACUCACCUGCCGAAUCAACCAGCCCUGAAAAUGGAUGGCGCUGUAGCGUGGGACCUAUACCGAAUCGGUGGCGUAAGUUUUCAUAUUCGUAUGUUAAANCGNNUNNNNCGUCAUCGUGUAGGAGGGUGCCGUGGUUGNNNNNNNNNNNNNNNNNCGUGAGUCAGAGUGGAGCGGUNNNCNNNUACAGAUCUUGG
rnacentral:rRNA from 1 species